UUGAUGCGGAUGUUUAGGAGUUGUACGUUAAAUGCGCGUUGCAUCUUGGGAAUCGUAGUAACAUGGAGGUGCCCGUUUGUCACGCAUGACUUUAUACAUGUCGAAGCUUUAAAACGUGAAUUUCGAUUGCCUUGAUUUUAUUAUCAUAUUAGAUUGACGAAUACAAGGUCAUAAAGACGUGCAACGCUUCGGGGAAACACGAAUGAUUGACGACCUCUAUGUAUUUCAGGUAAGAUAUGUCUCUGUUGAGAGGGUUGCUGAAGGCUUGCCACUCCACACAACCAGACAGUUAAGCACUGGUGUGUGCUGUCCAGUCCAUAUGAAUGCCAUUCCUGAGCUAAAGAAGGUGGACUGAGAAGAGGAGCAUGUUUGGGGUUUAUGACAACAUAGGAAUUUUAGGUGACUUCAAAGCCCACCCUAAGGACCUGAUCGUCUGGCCGGUCUGUGUGAAGGGUUUCCAUGGCAAUGAGCUGCGCAGCGUCUGACGAGGAGGAAGAGGAUGGUGGGGAAACAGGAUGAUGACACAGGACAAACACGACAUGGAGAAGAGGAUCCGCUUCCUCUAUCGACACUUCAACCGCUUUGGGAAACAUCGCUGAUCUGAUCUGGGACUGAGCGGUCUGGCUAACAAUGCUAAUCUACUACUGUACUAACAACCUGCCCACUGGACCACAUUCAGACUCUAAAGAGAGAAAUGUGAGCUACUCAGUUAUGCCACUUAGAUUUAUAUCAGUCCCUUAUACCAUUUGGUAGCCACCUUUUCUUAUAUCCUUAUUCCUUAUACCAUUUGGUAGCCACCUUUUCUUAUAUCCUUAUUGGGGUAAGAGGAAGCUAAUUGCAAUUUGUUUUUUUACUUUUGACAGCUGGAAAAUGUUGGAUUAAUUUAGUAUUGUUGUUAGCACUAAAUCAACACUCAACUGUAAAAUACAUCUUUUGAACCAUUAUGAACUCAUAGAAGUGGAAAUAUACACAAAUGUUUGAUGCUCUAUGGUCUGUAAAUGUUAUCACAUUGGGGACUAAUGUAAGUAAUGUUGUGGGUAUGAUAAUAAACAGAAGCUUGUCAUUA